rfam:Acidipropionibacterium acidipropionici ATCC 4875 chromosome, complete genome.
CUUGCGUCCUUGUCCGGGGGCGGUCCACCGAUCGUGGUACGGCCCCCUGGGAGAAUCCGGUGAAAGACCGGAGCUGACCCGCAACCGUGACGCCGCACCGCGGCGGAGCCGGACCGCCCGCGAGGACUCCGACCC